GGUGGCUUAGUGGUAGAGCGCUUGCCUUACAUGCAUGAAGCCCUGGGUUCGAUUCCUCAGCACCA
rnacentral:tRNA from 1 species